GUUGAUCCAUGAUAUAUAAUUAUAUAUAAACAUAUGUUAUGCAUUGUGAAGAAAAUGGAGGCCUUACGACGUGGUAGCUUUCAAAGGCCAUGAGUUGAACCAAGAAAUUUCCAGCCACUCCAACAUUAGUGGAUUAUUUUUAAUUAAUACUAGAACUUUGGAAGUUACAAUGUUUCACCAGAUGUCAAGACAAGUCUUGGAGGUCC
rnacentral:lncRNA from 1 species